rnacentral:other from 1 species
AAUUCCCUACGAUGCCCGUGGGGGGAGCUGGCAAGUUUUGAGCCAACACAUAUUACGAAGGGAGCCUAACUCUGUUUACGUAGUAAAUGCCUCUUUAAAGAGGACUUAUGAAAUAAACAGGAGGGCACCCACCUGCCGGGGGCAGGUUCAAAACACCAGCUACCACGGCAUAUGUGGGGGUUAA